GAAGGGCAGGUAGUGGUAGGUAUCCUGGGGCUCCCGGGUGAAGAACCUGUCCUGGAAGAGCUCGUCUAUGAUGCUGGACGCGCGGCUGAAGUGGUCCUGCAUGACAUCCAGCAUGUGCGUCUGCUGCCGGUCGUUCUCCAGCAGGGAGUCGAUGCGGUCACCAUUCAUCCAGAAGUAGAAGGGCGAGCUCUGGUUCAGGAACUCCUCAAGCUGGGAC
rnacentral:lncRNA from 1 species